GACGAACGCUGGCGGCGUGCUUAACACAUGCAAGUCGAACGGAGUGGCGAACGGGGGAGUAACACGUGGGUGAUCGGCCUUGCACUUCGGGAUAAGCUUGGGAAACUGGGUCUAAUACCGGAUAGUGCAAGAUGAGCUCGCGGGCUAUCAGCUUGUUGGUGGGGGCAUGGCCUACCAAGGCGGCGACGGGUUGCCGGCCUGCGGGGGGGUACGGCGCCAAUGGGACUGAGUGACGGACCAGACUCGUACGGGAGGCAGUAGGGGGGAAUAUUGCACAAUGGGCGGAAGCGUGAGGCAGCGACGCCGGGUGGGGGAUGAAGGCUUUCGGGUUGUAAACUCCUUUCGACAGGGACGCGGUACCUGUAUAAGAAGCACCGGCUAACUACGUGCCAGCAGCCGCGGUAAUUC
rnacentral:rRNA from 1 species